rnacentral:lncRNA from 1 species
CCACCGUUUACACCCUGGGUGUGGCUGAUUAUAAGAUAGGCCAGGUCAUUCUGAACUAGUAACCAGGCACCACUCUGGAGCUGAGUGGAGAAAGGCAUCCCAGGCGGCUUUCCCAGGGCCACCACAAGGACAGUCAUCUAACUUGCCCCCAAGUGAUUUGGGCCAACCCAUGGCCACUGCAGAAGUGACUGACAGCGUGUUGUAGAAAUCCCACCACACCAAAAGCGGGGGCGGAAGAGUUCCCCACUCCCUGAUAGUGGGCUGCUGGCUAGAGAAGGCUGUGGCCCUGACAGCCUGACAUUCUGCUGCCCCCAAAGCAUGGGGGCAAGACACUGUCCCCUGAGCCUGUGACCUGCUGCAUCCUCACCUCCUGGGUGGGGGUCCAAGCCACGUUCCCUCUCUGAAGAUAACAACAAUUGCCCACAGCCUGGACCGCAUGUUUGCAGUGGGUCAUGGAGUUUCUGAACAGCAUGGCCUAGUGGACAGAAUCGGAACACAAGGUGUCUUGAGGUGAAGUCUGUGGAGCCUCCACUAUGUGUGCAGGAGGAGGCCAUACCAAGCAGUGUGCGGGAGUCCCAGUCCCCACCGCCACCCCCAGCACAGGUGACUUCUAUCUGUGUCCUGUUGCCCUUCUGAAAAAAAAACAAUCAGUAUGGACAAGACUUUCAUGACUUGCCCUGGACCAAAGAUUAAAAACAACCUGGACAGAGGUCUUUGUUGAAGCCAGCCUGAACAAUGGCAGAAAUGUCCUUUCUAAUGACAUCACUAUGAAGAGCACCACCUGUGGAGCCACGAGGGAAGGAAGCCGGGGACUCAACCAUGAGGCUGGGAGGUCAGGGAAGUCUCCCAGGGACAGACAGGCUCUCCCUGAGGAAGACUGUCAAGGAUCCACCACCUGUGCAGAAGCCAGAAAAAGUAAGUCGCAGUUCCGGUCCCGAUAUUGUCACAUCCCAAGGAGCCCACUGACCUUCACCAAGAGUGCCAUGAAGGCUGCGCCCCAUGACCUCCACCUGCCGAGGCAGAGAAGAGGGUGACAGAGGGGCAGAGUGAAGCCUGAGAAGGGUGGGGACUCACAGUGAUGUCCCCAGCACGCCCUUCCCACUCCCUGCACCCCUCAAAAUGAGGCUUCUCACCAAUUCACAGCCUGGGGUGGCCAGUUUCAGCAACUGUGAUGAUCUCUCCUGAAUAAAUGGGGCUCGCCUCUCAAUAUUCCACAGAGCAUGUAUAAGAUGCUAAGGACGGAGGCGCUCUGGAAAAGGAGCCCCGUGUUUUAGGGACCUGGCCCCGUCCCCAGGCUCCGGAUGCAGAUGUGGCUCCAUUUGGCCUCUCUGGAUCCCUGUCUCCUGGCAGGGACGAGGGGCUGGCUGGGGUUAGCUUCUAGGGAUGCGGGAGUCCUGGCAGGCACCGAACUGGGAGAGACACCCAGCCCAGUGAACACAGGGGCCAGGAGUCUGGAAGCAGGCUUCUGGGCCAGGGACCCACCCCAGGGGCCAUAGGCUGUGGUGAGGGCAGUAGCUGACGCAGGAGGCCCUGGGCCUGGGAUGGGGUGGGAACAGGCCUCCCUGGCCAAGGCUGGCCUCUGCGGUGCUCCAGAGUGGGCUCAGGGAGGCUGCAUCUGCAACCAGGUGGAUGCAGACAGUCAUCUGCAAAUGCUGGGACUGUUGCACAGCCCCCAGAGCAGGCCUCUUUCAACAGGGCUGGCCGCGGAAGAAACAAAGGGACAGAGACGAAGUCGUUGGCAUUUAGGGGAAAAACCAUGUCUGCAAACCAGGAGGAGUUUGCAUGUUUCUCACACAAAAGAUUCUCCCCUGUGGUGUGGGCUCCUCACUAGUCCUUUCAUUCCCCAGAUACACAUCUGGGAGUGGUCAGCACUGUGCCUGGUGCUGAGGCAACGACACCAUGGCCUUGCAC